GCGGCGUGGUUGGCUUCUUCCACUUCAACAAUACCUCUUCCAGUCUGCUGCCCCUCUUUUCCUUCCUUCUUCUCUUGCUGAAAUUCUACUUGUGGUGGUGAGGCCGCUAUCCUCGUCAGUUGUGGAUCCCCCGCAGUCAUCCGAUCGGUAUACUGUUGUCUCUCUUGAAUCCCAACCUCUCCUUAUCCCGAGUAUCAUUAUUUUCCAGCCAUCCCUACACUAUCAUCAACCCUUGCUGAAUCAACCGAAAACUAAGAGUUUUAUGUCCGAUAGGAUCAAACUUACUACUUUUGUGGAAACAUUUAUAAGUAGUUUAGUUGGAUAAUAUUAUUAUUUCUUAUAUAGUGUGCUCCCUAUCAUCUUUGUGUUGCUCCUAGUUGGCUUUUACUAUCAUUUUCUUGCUGAAAUUUUAUUUACUAUUUUGCUUAUGGUGAUUGAAGUUUUCUAGAAUUCUCAAAACAAAAAAAAGAUUAAUUAGUUUUCAAAGUUUUAAUUAAAAUUUUAAUUUUUGCAACCUCACGUUUGCAUUAAUUGGUAUCAAAACAAUAAUAUUACUCAACUAAACUGCUUAUAAAUGUUCCAACAAAAGUAGUAAGUUGGAUUUUAUCGGGCAUAAAAUUUUUAGUUUUCGGUUGAUUCAGUAAGGGUUGAUGAUAGUAGAGGGAUGGCUGAAAAAUAAUGAUACCUGGGAUAAGGAGAAGGAUUCAAGAGGAACAACGGUGUACCAAUCGUGUGAUUGAGAGGUUAGGUGCGGAGCCUCACUCGAAUAGUGAUGCAAACGUGAGGUUGCAAAAACUAAAAUUUCAAUUAAAAUCUUGAAAAUUAGUUAAUCUUUUUUUUUUGUUUUGAGAAUUUUAGAGAACUUCAAUCACCAUAAGCAAAAUAGUAAAUAAAAUUUCAGCAAGAAAGUAAUAAUAAAAUUCAACUAAGAGCAAUACAAAGAUAAUAGGGAGCACACUAUAUAAGGAACAAUAAUAUUACUCAAUUAAAUUACUUAUAAAUUUUUUCACAAAAGUAGUAAGUUUGAUCCUAUCGGGCAUAAAAUUUUUAGUUUUCGGUUGAUUCAGCAAGGGUUGAUGAUAGUGGAGGGAUGGCUGGAAAAUAAUGAUACCUGGGAUAAGGAGAGGUCAGGAUUCAAGAGGGACAACAAUGUACCGAUCGCGUGACUGCGGGGGAUCUACGGCUGACGAGGAUAGCGGCCUCACCACAGGUAGAAUUUCAGCAAGAGGGAAAGGAAGGAAAAGAGGGGCAGCAAGCCGGAAGAAGUAUUGUUGAAGAGGAAGAAGCCAACCAUGCCGUGAGGAAGAAGCGACACGAUCAAUGGGAGAAAGGAAGAAGAUAAGGGGACAAUAGAAAAUUUAUGUUCUUAAAAAAUCUCCCCUCCCAAGGUUCAACAUUUGGAUAUUUAUAAUGCCAAAAAUCAGUCUCAUAUUAAUUUCUGUUGUCUCUUCAUUUUUUAAAGCAGCACUGCAUUAAAAAUCAGUGUCUCUUCAUUUUUUCAAGACAGCACUGCAUUAAAAAUCAGCUUGUCUCGUCUUUUUGUUUUCUCCAAAACAUUGACUCCAAAAGGUCAAAAGAUGAAAGAGAAGAGGAGGCAUUAACUUUAGCCCAUUAUUUGUCUGUGUCUAAUUCAGGCUUAAGACAAUUAGUUUUAGUUGGUUCAGCUAACUUAAAUCUAUCAUCCACCAAAAUUAUCUCCAAAAUCUAAAACCAACAUGGCUGAACUUAAUGUCUUCUCUUUUUUUGCACCUUAUGACUUUUGGAGCAUGUGCCUUGGAAUAAAUGGAGGAGUAAUGGGCUGAAGUUAAUGCCUCCUCUUCUCUUUCAUCUUUUGACCUUUUGGAGUCGGUAUUUUGGAGAAAACGAAAAGGCAAGAGAUAAGCUGAUUUUUAAUGCAGUGCUGCCUUGGAAAAAUGAAGAGACAAGCAUAUUUUUAAUGCAGUGCUGCCUUGAAAAAUGAGGAGACAACAGAAAUCAAUAUGAUGUUAAUUUUUGGCAUUAUAAAUAUCAAAAUGUUGAAGCUUGGGAGAAGAGAUUUUUGAAGAACAGAAAUUUUCUAUUGUCCCCUUAUCUUCUUCCUUUCUCCUAUUGAUCGUGUCGCUUCUUCCUCGUGGCGUGGUUGGCUUCUUUCUUUUCAACAAUACUUGAACUGAUGCAGCUACUAGUGCUGCGAUCAUCAUUUCUUAUUUUAUUACAUGCAAAUUUUUUUUUAUUUUGUGAGUUUGUGUCUAAUUCGGGCUUAAGAUAAUUAGUUUUAGUUGAUUCAGCUAAUCUAAAC
rnacentral:lncRNA from 1 species